rnacentral:rRNA from 1 species
AAAUUGAAGAGUUUGAUCAUGGCUCAGAUUGAACGCUGGCGGCAGGCCUAACACAUGCAAGUCGAACGGUAACAGGAAGCAGCUUGCUGCUUUGCUGACGAGUGGCGGACGGGUGAGUAAUGUCUGGGAAACUGCCUGAUGGAGGGGGAUAACUACUGGAAACGGUGGCUAAUACCGCAUAACGUCGCAAGACCAAAGAGGGGGACCUUCGGGCCUCUUGCCAUCAGAUGUGCCCAGAUGGGAUUAGCUUGUUGGUGAGGUAACGGCUCACCAAGGCGACGAUCCCUAGCUGGUCUGAGAGGAUGACCAGCCACACUGGAACUGAGACACGGUCCAGACUCCUACGGGAGGCAGCAGUGGGGAAUAUUGCACAAUGGGCGCAAGCCUGAUGCAGCSAUGCCGCGUGUAUGAAGAAGGCCUUCGGGUUGUAAAGUACUUUCAGCGGGGAGGAAGGUGUUGUGGUUAAUAACCGCAGCAAUUGACGUUACCCGCAGAAGAAGCACCGGCUAACUCCGUGCCAGCAGCCGCGGUAAUACGGAGGGUGCAAGCGUUAAUCGGAAUUACUGGGCGUAAAGCGCACGCAGGCGGUCUGUCAAGUCGGAUGUGAAAUCCCCGGGCUCAACCUGGGAACUGCAUUCGAAACUGGCAGGCUUGAGUCUUGUAGAGGGGGGUAGAAUUCCAGGUGUAGCGGUGAAAUGCGUAGAGAUCUGGAGGAAUACCGGUGGCGAAGGCGGCCCCCUGGACAAAGACUGACGCUCAGGUGCGAAAGCGUGGGGAGCAAACAGGAUUAGAUACCCUGGUAGUCCACGCCGUAAACGAUGUCUACUUGGAGGUUGUGCCCUUGAGGCGUGGCUUCCGGAGCUAACGCGUUAAGUAGACCGCCUGGGGAGUACGGCCGCAAGGUUAAAACUCAAAUGAAUUGACGGGGGCCCGCACAAGCGGUGGAGCAUGUGGUUUAAUUCGAUGCAACGCGAAGAACCUUACCUGGUCUUGACAUCCACAGAACUUUCCAGAGAUGGAUUGGUGCCUUCGGGAACUGUGAGACAGGUGCUGCAUGGCUGUCGUCAGCUCGUGUUGUGAAAUGUUGGGUUAAGUCCCGCAACGAGCGCAACCCUUAUCCUUUGUUGCCAGCGGUCCGGCCGGGAACUCAAAGGAGACUGCCAGUGAUAAACUGGAGGAAGGUGGGGAUGACGUCAAGUCAUCAUGGCCCUUACGACCAGGGCUACACACGUGCUACAAUGGCGCAUACAAAGAGAAGCGACCUCGYGAGAGCAAGCGGACCUCAUAAAGUGCGUCGUAGUCCGGAUUGGAGUCUGCAACUCGACUCCAUGAAGUCGGAAUCGCUAGUAAUCGUGGAUCAGAAUGCCACGGUGAAUACGUUCCCGGGCCUUGUACACACCGCCCGUCACACCAUGGGAGUGGGUUGCAAAAGAAGUAGGUAGCUUAACCUUCGGG